AGGGCGGUUAGGGGGAACCGAGAGGGUGAAAACCGCCCUGCAGAGCGGCGGGGGCGGAGAGGAAACCUGCGCCCAGAGCCACGUGCUGGAGCCGGCGCGGGGUGGGUGGCUCGCGGAGGCGUGGGGGAAGGAGAGGCCGCUGCUGGGAAAGGCCCCAGGCCACGUUUCUCGGGGAGGAGAUGCGCCGAGGUGGACACGCUCGGCCCCAGGCCAGCCGGGGACCUUCGUGUCUGGAGAAGGCGGCCCAAGAUCCCUCUGAUGGGAGCAGCUCUGGCCGAGCCUCGGAGGGCCGGCCCUGCCUGCCCAGGGAUGGCCUUGCAGAAAUGCCCUGGCCUAAAGGAAACGGCAACCCACUCCAGUGUUCUUGCCUGGAGAAUCCCAGGGACGGGGGAGCCUGGUGGGCUGCCGUCUCGGGGGUUGCACAGAGUCGGACACGACUGAAGCGACUUAGCAGCAGCAGCAGCAGCAACCUAGUUGCCUCCUCUAACCGCGGUGGGAUGGGGUUGAGGCUGAAGGAUCUUCUCUCUCACCCCGCCCCUGCCCACCACCACCUCAAAGAGGAUAUCUGUCCAGGGGUGGAAGAAUUUGAGAGGCUGAGUAAACUGGGGGUGGGUGGCCAUCCAGUGAAGGUGAGGAGAGUGGUAGAAAGGAAAAAGGAGGCACAAAAAGAAAGGAAAAUCUUAAGAACCUGCCGAGGAUGUAACCGCAGUCCUUGGAAAGGUUCUGUCCAGGGUCAAGAACGUCAAAUUGAGAGAAUGUUGAGCUAUUUUUCAGAAGCCACUGGAGCAAAAGGACCAACAUCUCUAGGAGAGUGCCUGGUGGUGUGUGCUGCCCGCUGCAGAGACCAAACGUUGGUGACCACAAAAGAAUCUGGCAAGUCUAGAAAAUGGUGAACAGCUAAGGUUUAAUAAGCAUUUACUAUGUGCCAGGAAUUUUUCUGAACUCCUUACAUGCUGCUUACUUGCUUCAUUUCAUCCUCGAAGCAGCCUUAGGAAACAGAGCUGAUGAUGACCUCCCUUUCACAGGUUCCUGCCUCCUCUGCUACCCCUAAGACUUGGCUCAUGACUGAAGUUUCGACUAGAAAAUCAUGCUGAAAGGAAACGGCUGUACUUCUCUGUGUCCACACCGGGAACCCCAUCUCCUGGGCUCUCAACCCUCCUCUCACAGAGCCGAGUGAGCUCUUGGGCAAGACUGCGGUGGUCUCGGCAGUACGUUGGGGAUUGUCCCUGGUCCCUGGUCUCGGACGGCUCGCUCAGUAAUCCCUGCCAGACUGCACACCAGCCUCUCAAACAGCCUGUGUGGUUGGCUGAGUUUGGUUAAACUGGAGGAUAUAGGCCGCCGUGGUGCCCUGCACUCUGACUUGUCCCUGCCCCUUAGCCCUUCUUAGAGGUCUCCCACAGAGGGCUCAAGCCUUCCUUAUCUUGGGCAUUUCUCAGUGUCUCUGGCACUCCAGCCCCCUUGGGUCACCAUCCCACCCCCUCAGCACCUCACAGCAGUAGGGUGACAAGAAACGUCUGAGCACGGUGGGGAGAGCGUGGGGGCUGGGAGGUGAGAGGGAAGGCUCUGCUUCUUCCAGUCAUGAGCUUCCUUUAUUGACUCAUGCAUGUGUGUUGGCUGGAUGGGGAAACAUGGGAGGAGAUGGAGGCUGGACAUGGUAAUACCAGCCCAGUGGCUCUUGGCUCCAAGUCUGUUCACAGAUGUUUGUUAACCAGACGUCGUUAGAAAGGACUUCCAAGCUCUGCUUGCAUCUCCUCUGCUGAGAGUUGACUCAGUAGCAUUUCUCAGAAGCCCCUUUCUUCUGUCACAGCUUGCAACUCCUCUGAGACUCCAGAAACAUCCAGCCUACGCAACGUCUUUUCUUGACUGAAGUGUGGCCGUUGGAACCAUACUGCCUAGGUUCCCAUCCUGCCUUUGAACCUCUCAGACUUGGGGGUGAUCCUUAAUCCCUCUCUGCUUCUGAUCCCUCGCCUCUGAUGUGGGGAUGAGAGCAUCUAUAGCCCAGAGUUGUUGAGAUUGCAAUGUUGUCAGCUGUAAAAGACUUAAAAUAGUACCUGGUACAUGGUAGGUGCUAUGGAAGUGUUAGCAGCUGUCUUAUUAUUACUAUUAGGAUUAUUUUCUGUCUCCUCUUUCCUUUUCUUCCACAUCUUUAGUCUAGACUUUAUCGAUGCACUGUCCUCCAGAGCCUCGGCAGGCUGGCUGGGCAAAGCUGUCCUUACAGGCUGGUGUAGGGGCCUUGGAAGGCUGGAGACUCUCCCGUGGAGAUGAACAUGCUCCUCUGGGAAGGUGUGGGGACCCCUGCAGAUGGUUCUGAGGUGGGAAGGAGCAAGUCACUCUCUGCUGUACUGAAAGCAGUACAGCUGCCUAGAGCAAGGGGUGUGUCUCCUGGUGAUGAGGGAACUUUGGUUUGGGUCCAAAUAGUUCAGAGAAAAACGCAUCAGUCAGAGGACUUCUGAGUGUAUCCAGAUGGAGGUGAAGCCGCAUACCUGGUCUCACGUGGGAUGAAACUGUGCAACUCCUGUGGAAUUCAAACCCAGCCCAAACUCUGAUUGAGGUUUGAACCCAUGAGCUGGGACUUGAACCCACUGUCUUUUCAUUGAAAUCACACACCUGGUCUCAGGACUUAAUGAAGAUCAGGUUCUUAAGUCGAGGUGCAGAAAGAAUUCAUUGAGAGGCAAAGUGAUAGGUAGGAAGUGUCAAUAGAUUUAUUGAGACAGAGUAUAGGCCAUCUCAGGUGGCAAGAGGCCCCAGAAUAAGUGGUUAGUUUUCUUGGGCCGGGUAAAUUCUUAGGCUAAUGAGUGAGAGGAUUAUCCAGCCAUUUUGGAGAAGGGGUGGGGAUUUCUAGGAACUGGGCCACUGCCCCCUUUUUGGCCUUCUGUGGUUGGUCUAACUGUCACAGCUCCAGAGGGGGUGUUGUUCAGUAUAUGGAUAUGUUACAGUGAGAGUAUAAUGAGGCUCAAGGUCUACUGGAAGUCAAACCUUCCACCAUUUUGGGUCUAGUAGAUUCUAAUCAGUUUAUGUUGUAUCCACAAUGACUAUGUCAUUCUCUUAAAGGUUAUAUCCUGCCCCCUUCCCUCCUGUUUCAGAGGUUACAAUUAAGACACUCAUACAAUAGGACUCUAGUGGGUUGAUGGGUGGCUCCCCAAGAAAUAUGUCCAUGUUCUAGCCCCCAAAACCUGUGAAUGUGACCUUGUUUUUAAAGAGUCUUUGCAGAUAUCAUGAAGAAUCCUGAGAUGAGGUCAUCCUGGAUUAUUUGUCUGUGUCCUAAAUCCAAUGACAAGUGUCCUCGUAAAAAGUAGAAGAGGAGGAUUUGCAAACCCAGAGGGGAAGGCCAAGUGAAGACAGAGGCAGAGUCUGAAGUUAUGCAGCUGAAACAAGCUUGGAGCCACCAGAAGCUGGAAGGGAAACUUUGGAGAGAAUGCAGUCCUGAGGACAACUUGUCUUUGGAUUUUUUUGCUCAGAACUGUGAGAAAAUUCAUUUCUGUUGUUUUAAGCCACCCAGUUUGUGGUAAUUUGUCUCAACAGUUACAGGAAAUUAAUAACAAGGACCAAAUGCAAACCACAGCCUAUCUGUACCCCAAAAGGAAAAGGAAAAGAUAAGGGGCCAUGGUUUGAAGUGGUGAAGGCAGAGAGAAAUGAAACUCAAAGGAUCGAUGAAGGACUUUCAUUGAUUGCUGCAUGUGAUGAAGCGGGCUGUGUACCGCACAACAGUGGAUGGCACAUACCGUAUGGUUGUAGAUCUGAGUAUUUAUUGCUUGGUUUUUCCCUGCAGGGGUCAGUAAGGUGUCUUAAGGAAGGGGUGCCUCUUACUAAAACAUACACAAUUACCCUAUGGCCUUGCUAGUGUUAGUGAGAAACAUCCAGAUAGCCCUGUCCAGUGGAACUUUCUGCAAAGAUGGAAAUGUUAUGUUGUAAUUAUUGUUGUUUAGUCACUUGGUCAUGUCCAACUCUCUGCAACCUCAUGGACUGUAGUACACCAGGCUCCU